rnacentral:rRNA from 1 species
UACGAGGGGGGCGAGCGUUGUUCGGAAUUAUUGGGCGUAAAGGGUGCGUAGGCGGUUUGGUAAGUCUUGUGUGAAAUCUACAGGCUCAACUUGUAGUCUGCACGAGAAACUGCCGGGCUUGAGUGUGGGAGAGGUGAGUGGAAUUCCUGGUGUAGCGGUGAAAUGCGUAGAUACCAGGAGGAACACCUGUGGCGAAAGCGGCUCACUGGACCAUAACUGACGCUGAUGCACGAAAGCUAGGGGAGCAAACAGG